GCCAAGAUCGCACCAAACCACUCCAGGCUGGGCAACAGAGCAAGACUCCAUCUCAAACAAAACAAAACGAGAUGAGAGAAAAACCUCAACCUGUACACCUCUUUAUGACAGAACAACACAGAAAGAGAAAGACAAAGAAAAGACUACUCUAGGAGGAAAUGGAUGAAACAAUAUGAUUCUUACCACAAAGUACCAGAAAGUACACCAUAGUCAAUACACCAGCACUGGUCACACAAAUCCUUUUCUCCCAUCAGUCAAAAUUUUGGACAGGAAAAAUGAACAGAGUGAUAUUUACUGUCUACUUGACCAAAUUCCACAGAGAGGGGCCUGGAAUCUGACUGGUAAGAAAUUCUUAUCCUUAGGCUGGCUGAUUAGCUCCUGGUUUUCCUUAACUGUGGGCUUCCAAAAGAGCCAACCUUUGGGUUCCUGCUUACAACACCAAAUUUCUAGGGGCCAAGGGAAAUCUUUCUCUUAGCACUCUGAAAGUUUGUUGUAAAAUCGACUUGCAAAAACAGAAGAUUAACAGGAGAAAACACAUACAAAAUGUAUAAUUGCCCAAACCCCCAGUGAGGUGCAGGAGCUUAUAUAUCAUCUUGAGAUUACAGAAAGAAGUGGAUCAUGGCAGAACUGGUUAUAGGAGGGAGAGAAGAUGAGGUCUGCUAGCAAUGGUAGUCUUGUUAUGUACAUGAAACCUCACAGAUAGCAUCCCUCAGAGAACUGUUUCCUUAAGACCUUUAAAGGUGUCAGACUCUCAUUAAUCCUUCCUACAUCUGGAAAAGAGAAGGCCUGUAUAUAUCAAUGCACGAUGGCAUUGCAGGGCUACUUCUUUUGCUGCCUCUGACAGCCAUCUCAAAAUAUGUCAAAGAAAUAUAUUUUGGGGUAAAACAUUUUUCUUUCUUUCAAAGUGGAAUAUUAAGCGUACGUCUCUUAUAGAUACACUUUUAAAUAAAUAAGGGAAUCCACUUUUUCUAAUUUGUUAAGAUAUUUUUUGUUUUAAUAAUGAAGAGAGGUUAACUUUUAAAAAGGUUUUCUACAUCUACUGAUAUUAUCAUGUGGUUUUAUUUCUUUUUACUGUUAAUGCGGUGAAUAAUAUUGAUUGAUUUUCAAAUGCGAGUUCCUGGAGUAAAUCCCACUAGGUCAUGAUGUAUUUUUAAAAUAUAUAUAUUGCUGGAUUCAGUAUGCUAAUGCAUUAUUCAUAAUUUUUAACAUCUGUGAUCAUGAGAGACAUUGGCUGACCAAAAAUGGGAAAUUGACAAGAGUAAUAAACAAAAUGGGCUUACAAAUAUUCAUACUUGCUUGAUACUUAAAAAGGCCUUUUAAUGUAUUUUUCUGCCCCACUCAAGCAGACUUUUUAAUUUCUGGCAAGAGGUCUCAUUCAGGCUGUUCAAAGGUCAAUAUUAAUCUGAAUCAUUCCACAUUUGUAGGCAUCCUCAUUAUCUUUUCAAUACAGAUUGAAUUAUUGGGGAUUCAGACAGCAGAGGAAAAAAGUCAAAGCAUAUAAGGUGAGUAAGAAUUGUCACUUCCUGACAGGACCAGGAACAUCAGGAUAUUUGGAGAAUCUUAACAAAAGGAGAAUUCAUCCAAAUCUCUAGGUAUUGCAGGCAAAGUAUGAUAGCAAGAUCCUGGUUUGGUUUCCUAGCAUCUGGACGCUUUUAAAAGUCUAAUUUGAGAUUCCUUAUGAAAAUGUCCAGGAUUAAUGUCACCAGCCAGGUUCCUAACCUAUGUGGAACACCCAGGGCCAGAAGAGUCUAAAAUUGCAAAAGCUCGUGGCUCCUGAGUCCAAGAGUUCCUGGUUUUCCUGGACACAAGCGAUAGCGCAGCACUUUCUUCCCCAUGUGCCAGAGGCCUAGGGUUCUGCAGAAGAGGCCCCAAGGCCCCAGACGCUGCAAGCCCUAAGCUCAGUAUAUUCUAGGCCCUGUCCUCUCACUUUCUAUUUCUUGUGUGGCCCCCAAACUUGUGCCAGCUAUCCUGGAACAGCCAAGAAUUCAACUGUGACCUGCUUCCUCCCUCAACCUCUUCUCCCCAACCUCCCCACCACACUUCUUCUUUGGGAAGAUUUGUAAAAAUUAAGGUUAUUAUAUCCAUGUAACUUUCUGUAUUUCUUUUAAACUCCUUGUGCUACUAAGUCACACAGGUUUGACUCCUGGAUCUAAAAAAGUCACCAACUCUGGCUAAAUCUUAAACAUUGACAGCAAUUGAAGCCUCAUCUUCAGACCUAGGAGAAGAUGAAAAUCAGAAUAAGCUGCAGUCAUAAGACAUGGGUCCAGAAAUUAAAACUAUUCAACCCCUCUAGUCCCAGGGACUAUUGCAGAAGAAGUGGGUGUGUGAGCUUGUAAGGAUCCAUUUUAAGAGAUAAAAUUAAUUCAGAGUUUCUCUAUAAAUUAAACAGUUGCAUUUGUUGUUGUUUUGAGACAGUCCAGCUAUGUCAUCUGGGCUGG
rnacentral:lncRNA from 1 species